GACGAACGCUGGCGGCGUGCUUAACACAUGCAAGUCGAACGAAGUGGCGCACGGGUGAGUAACGCGUAAACCACCUGCCCUUCAGAGGGGGACAACAGUUGAAAACGACUGAUAAUACCGCAUACUGAAGGAGGGGGUUGCGGGUGAUUAGCUAGUUGGAGGGGUAACGGCCCACCAAGGCGAUGAUCCCUAGCUGGUCUGAGAGGAUGAUCAGCCACACUGGGACUGAGACACGGCCCAGACUCCUACGGGAGGCAGCAGUGGGGAAUAUUGCACAAUGGGCGCAAGCCUGAUGCAGCCAUGCCGCGUGUGUGAAGAAGGCCUUAGGGUUGUAAAGUACUUUCAGUCGGGAGCGUUACCCACAGAAGAAGCACCGGCUAACUCCGUGCCAGCAGCCGCGGUAAUUC
rnacentral:rRNA from 1 species